rnacentral:rRNA from 1 species
AGCAGCCGCGGUAAUUCCAGCUCCAAUAGCGUAUAUUAAAGUUGUUGCAGUUAAAAAGCUCGUAGUUGAAUUUCGGGGUCAGUAGGUUGGUCGUGCCACCGGUACGUACUGGUCUCACUGAUUCCUCCUUCCUGAUGAGCUGUAAUGCCAUUAAUUUGGUGUUGCAGGGAAUCUGGACUGUUACUUUGAAAAAUUGAGUGUUUAAAGCAGGCUAACGCUUGAAUACAUUAGCAUGGAAUAAUGAAAUAGGACGUUCGAUCCUAUUUUGUUGGUUCUAGGAUUGACGUAAUGAUUAAGUAGGAUAGUUGGGGCAUUAGUAUUCAAUUGUCAGAGGUG